rnacentral:piRNA from 1 species
UGGAUGUGGACCUACCUUUAAGUGUAGUUAGU